rnacentral:lncRNA from 1 species
GAUGCCACCUCUUUCUCUCACCUUAGCACUCAAUCAGAUUGAUAUGCUUUGAUGGUUAGAGGUCUUCUCUAUUUAUAGAUGAUUCUUCAUGACUCAUUAGACUAAGAGUCUUAAUUCAAAUCAUUUUUGAAUUUUUUCACCACUUAUCAUAUGAGGAGUCCUAAUGGAGAUAGGAUUGGCGCCUAACUUGGUACCCCCAUGCACCUAUGCCUAUACCUAAGAGGAGGGG